GACAGAGGGUGCAAACGUUGUUCGGAAUUACUGGGCGUAAAGGGCGCGUAGGCGGCCUUCUAAGUCGAACGUGAAAUCCCUGGGCUCAACCCAGGACUGCGUCCGAUACUGGGAGGCUUGAAUCCGGGAGAGGGAUGCGGAAUUCCAGGUGUAGCGGUGAAAUUCGUAGAUAUUCGCAAGAACACCCAGUGGCGAAGGCGGCUCACUGGUCCAUAACUGGCGCUGACGUGCAGCGAAAGCGUGGGGAGCAAACAGG
rnacentral:rRNA from 1 species